rnacentral:rRNA from 1 species
GACGAACGCUGGCGGCGUGCUUAACACAUGCAAGUCGAGGGGGCCCACGCAAUGGGUCGACCGGCGAACGGGUGCGUAACACGUGGGCAAUCUGCCCUUCACUCUGGGACAAGCCCUGGAAACGGGGUCUAAUACCGGAUACCACUCGCACGGGCAUCUGUGCGGGUUGAAAGCUCCGGCGGUGAAGGAUGAGCCCGCGGCCUAUCAGCUUGUUGGUGAGGUAAUGGCCACCAAGGCGACGACGGGUAGCCGGCCUGAGAGGGCGACCGGCCACACUGGGACUGAGACACGGCCCAGACUCCUACGGGAGGCAGCAGUGGGGAAUAUUGCACAAUGGGCGAAAGCCUGAUGCAGCGACGCCGCGUGAGGGAUGACGGCCU